ACCGAUUUUUAAUAAUAAGUACUUUCACAUGAAAAUAUGAAGUUAUUCGCAAUUCUCUUGAUAUUUUCCUUCCAUUGUCUUUUUAUGGAAGGAGAUGCACGUGGAUUAGAUUCUGUGAAGAAUUUAGAUUCUUCUAGUAUCGAGGUAGAAGAAGACGAGAAACUGAUUCUGGGCGAAAAGGUUAGACAACAAUCAACCAGCUAUAAUCAAAAAACAAUAAAUAAGGACGAAGACAAUAAUAAUAUGAGACAAAGUAUCAUAUACGUUCCUACAAAAUGUCCAAAAGGACAAGAAAAAGAUCCCAAUGGACAAUGUCGAGAUAUUUCUAAUUGAAACUGCUUUGUUUAAAAUAAACAAAACAAAUUAUUUCGACUUAUCUUUUAUACAAUAUACAAGGAUCGUAAUUUCUUUUAAUUUAAAAUUACAAUUUUGUAUUCAUUACUCAAUAAUCGUUUUUCGAACUAUAUACAAUAUUAUUCUAUGAUACUCUUAGCGCUAUCUAUAAGCGAAUACCCAAAUUACGAAAUUGGUUGAGGCGAUCUAUUAAUAAAAUACCUUUUAUGUAUUUUCGACCACCCUAUACUACUUAUCGGUAUGCAGAAAAUCGGCAUCCAAGUAUUCAAUUCUGAUGUUACAAUUCCUACGGAAGUAUCCAAUUAAUCAUUUUUUUUUGGGUUUGUUUUAAUAUGAAUUUUAAGCAAAUAUAAUAUUAUUUUAUGAUGUCGAUAGCGCUAUCUAUAAGUAAAUACCGAAAGCUCCCAUUUUGAAUUGAUAAAGAAAAUUGAGCAAGUGGACACGCCCCUAGGAAUUAAAAUAUUAAAGGUAGAUAUUUUCUAAUAAAUAAUAUAGAAGUGACCGAAAAUAUAUAAAAUGGAUUGUAGUUAUUAAUUUUCUCUAACCAAUCAUACAAUGGUAACAUUGGAUAUUUGCCUAUAGAUGGUACUGAAGGUAUCAUAAAAUGAUUUUUAAUAUAGUUCAAAACGCAUAUUUAAACAUACCCAAAAAAAUAGAUAAAGUAAACAAGCCUGUAGGAAUUAAAACAUUAGGGGUAGAUAUUUUUGACAUAUAGAUAAAUAAUAUAGGAGUGGUCGAAAUACAUAAAAGGUAUUGUAGUUAAAGACUUUUUCGUCCCGAUUCUGUAAGGGUAGCUUUGAGUGUUCGCUUAUAGAUGGCGCUAGGGAUAUUAUAAAAUAAUAUUGUAUAUUUUAUAGCUUUAAACUUAUAUCAUUUAUCGAUAUGUAGAGAAUCAGCAUGUAUAUAGUUAUUCCCACAGGAAUGUCCAGGUAAUGAAUUUUUUUGGCUCUGUCAAAUAUGAGCUUUCAAAUAUAUAAAAUAUUGUGACACCCCUAAAGCCGCCAUUACAAAAUUGAGUCGAAAAAAGGGAUCCUUAUAUUUAGAUGGAUCACGACAACCAAAUUGACGUCGACUAGGGGUCUAAACUUGAACUAUUUAUAUGACAUCCUUUAUAAUAUCCUAGCGAUUUUAAAUUUUAUUCACGGCGCGUAAUUUGAAGAUAGUUCAUACUUUGGAACUAAUGAAUUUUCAAAUUUAUUCUUUUAUUUAUAUUUCUCAAAAAAGCAUAUUUUAAGAUACAAUCACAAAAGAUGAAAUUUUGAAAACUAUUCGCCAGCUUGGUAUGUAGUUAUGCUAGCAGAUCUAUCUAGUGAUUCAGCUUGAAUUACUAAAAUUAUUCAACCUUGUUAUAUGUUCAAGCUAUUGCACAUAAAAACGUUAAGAGGUUUAAUGAAAAAAAAAACUAAUAAAAACUGAUAAUUGUAUUUCUUCUUCAUAAAUAUAUAUAUAUAUAUAUAUAUAUAUAUAUAUAUAUAUAUAUAUAUAUAUAUAUAUAUAUAUAUAUAUAUAUAUAUAUAAUGUCGAAAAUCUUCAACAUGGUUGAUAUUAAAAAAUAUGUAAUCGACCAAUUAAUCUUCACGACCUACAACGGAUAACAACAAAUUAAUAAAAAUAACAACAAUUAACAACGUCCUAAGGAUCAAGUAUUUUUAAUUGAUUUUAGCUGCCUUUUUUUGUUUUUCGUCCUGACCUGGAUUUGCAGGAUACUUGUAUACCAGCCAUAACUGUAUCAUGCACAAUAUUAGACCAAUCACAUUUUGAACCUGAAAUUAAAAAUUUGUUUAUAGCAUCUAGCUCCUAAUUAGGUAAUAAAAAUUUUCAAAUAAAUGAUUAAACUAUAAAAAAAAAAAAAAAA